rnacentral:rRNA from 1 species
UACGGAGGGGGCUAGCGUUGUUCGGAAUUACUGGGCGUAAAGCGCGCGCAGGCGGUUUCUUAAGUCUGAUGUGAAAGCCCACGGCUCAACCGUGGAGGGUCAUUGGAAACUGGGGAACUUGAGUGCAGAAGAGAAAAGCGGAAUUCCACGUGUAGCGGUGAAAUGCGUAGAGAUGUGGAGGAACACCAGUGGCGAAGGCGGCUUUUUGGUCUGUAACUGACGCUGAGGCGCGAAAGCGUGGGGAGCAAACAGG